UCCACCAUGAUGAAAUGGUAUCAUGUCUGACUGUUAAUCAGAAUUUCCUGGUUCGAAUCCAGGUGGUGGAG
rnacentral:tRNA from 1 species